AGAGCGAACGCUGGCGGCAGGCCUAAUACAUGCAAGUCGAACGGAUCCUUCGGGAUUAGUGGCGGACGGGUGAGUAACACGUGGGAACGUGCCCUUUGGUUCAGAACAACUCAGGGAAACUUGAGCUAAUACUGGAUAAGCCCUUCGGGGGAAAGAUUUAUCGCCAUUGGAGCGGCCCGCGUCUGAUUAGCUAGUUGGUAGGGUAAAGGCCUACCAAGGCUACGAUCAGUAGCUGGUCUGAGAGGAUGAUCAGCCACACUGGGACUGAGACACGGCCCAGACUCCUACGGGAGGCAGCAGUAGGGAAUCUUGCGCAAUGGGCGAAAGCCUGACGCAGCCAUGCCGCGUGAAUGAUGAAGGUCUUAGGAUUGUAAAAUUCUUUCAGCGGGGACGAUAAUGACGGUACCCGCAGAAGAAGCCCCGGCUAACUUCGUGCCAGCAGCCGC
rnacentral:rRNA from 1 species